UACGGAGGGGGCUAGCGUUGUUCGGAAUUACUGGGCGUAAAGCGCGCGUAGGCGGACCUGCAAGUCGGGGGUGAAAGCCCGAGGCUCAACCUCGGAACUGCCUUCGAUACUGCGGGUCUCGAGUCCGGGAGAGGUGAGUGGAAUUCCUAGUGUAGAGGUGAAAUUCGUAGAUAUCGGGAGGAACACCAGUGGCGAAGGCGACUACCUGGCCUGUUCUUGACGCUGAGGCGCGAAAGCUAGGGGAGCAAACGGG
rnacentral:rRNA from 1 species